GGCGGACGGGUGAGUAACGCGGUGAGUAACCUGCCAUACACAGGGGAAUAACCGACCGGAAACAGUCGCUAAUACCGCAUAACGCAGAGGGGUCGCAUGAUUUUUCUGCCAAAGAUUUAUCGGUGUAUGAUGGACUCGCGUCCGAUUAGGCAGUUGGCGGGGCAACGGCCCACCAAACCUACGAUCGGUAGCCGAACUGAGAGGUUGAACGGCCACAUUGGAACUGAGAGACGGUCCAGACUCCUACGGGAGGCAGCAGUGGGGAAUAUUGGGCAAUGGGCGAAAGCCUGAACCCCAGCGACGCCGCGUGAGGGAAGAAGGGUCUUCGGAUUGUAAACCUCUUUCAGCAGGGAAGAAGACGGUGACGGUACCUGCAGAAGAAGUCACGGCUAACUACGUGCCAGCCGCAGC
rnacentral:rRNA from 1 species